CGGUAACAGGAGGACUGCUGCGGCCUAGCCGUGCGGGUACCGCCAUGCCGCCGCGGCGGGGGCCGUGCCUGGGUUACAGCCUGCCCCCUCCACAGGCAUUUAAAUUUUCUGCAGAGAUGGAAGUGAAAAACAAGGGAACAAACAGCACUGCAAGGGAAUAUAUAUUGAAGUGCAUGUCUGAAUACAAUCAGAAUUGGGCAAUUCAGGAAGAGUCAAGAGAUGUAGAAGAGCCCAUUAUUCCUGAUCAGAAACUCAAGUGGAAGUUGAAAAUGCCGAUUAAAAAAUAAAGAAGGAGAAAGAAAGACUUUUUUUUGUCAGUUCUCAAUACUUUUCCAGGAAGUAUUCCUGAGGGAUUUCUGAUCCAACAGAAAUCAAGGAUUAAGACUUUGAACCCUGACGUGCUUGGAUUAUUCGGCCAUGUGGUUUGACCUAAGUUAACUCAGCGAUAGUCAGAGGGGUUUAAACAAGCAGCAAAUGUGGAGAUGCCCUAAGUCAGAAUGGCUGACUGCAAUAAAAUGAAACAGAAUAUGUGGGACAGCAAUGACAGUCAUAGCUUCUGUUGAGUGGGUUUAUUUUUCAGUCUGGAAGCCAAGAGACUGCACUGCAGACAUUUCUACCUAUUAAAUGAAAUAAAAACAGAACUAAAAUCAUAUACAGGCUUCUGUCUCUACAGGCACCAUGGGGUACAGUGUUACUUAUCAGUGGUUAGCUCCAGCCAAGUUUAGCUUCUUCUGAAGCAUUAAUGGCUAAAUCAGAAAGCCAGCCUGGCCUGCAUUUCACGCAGCUUGACCACUGGUUGCUUUAACACGAAAUAUCAGAAACAUUAUGGUCAUAUGAACAGGAUGUAUUUUGGCAGUUCUGUUUGUCCAGGGCACAUGCCUAAAACUCUGCAGCCAGAUGCCACGUUCCUGGUUACUAAUCUCAUGAGCACCUUUCCCAUUGAGUCCUCUCUCUGGUUACAUGAAGCACUUUUCCUCUAGCAAAGGUCAGCUUAAGAGAAUAGACUUUCCCUGUAAGAUCUGAGCAAGAAGUCUAAGGGAUCACCUGAGCUUACAGCUGUUCCAGCUGCCCUCCUGGUGCACCUUCCUUAUAUGCUCAAUAGCAGACAGGUAUGAGGCCAGGAAUCAGUUUUUUCACCACGUUAGUUUGAGAAGCUGUCUUCAGGGCUGGAUAUUGUUUACCUGAGGACUUUUUGGUCUUCUGUGGUGUGGGAAGUGAUUCAUUUCUAAGGAUGAUGUAAACCUUUUCCUGUUACAAACUUCCUAUGUUUGCAGAAGCUCAAAACGUUAGUGAUUGCUUUCAUCCUCCUUGAACCUCUUCAUUCAACACAUUAAUAUCUUGAAGGCCUUUUGGUCUUUUAGACCUAAAGUCUUAUGUUUGUUACCAGGUAGUGGGAUGCAUAUGGCAUGUGAGUGAUAGAAUAAAAGAGAAAAUGUCUAUGA